UUUUGGUUCUAAUUCCCAAGAAUCCCUUUAGAAAUGUCCUUUUCUUCACAGAAUAAUGUCAGACGUUUUUUCUGAUUGCUUGGGCAUUGUUUGUCCUGGAACACGAUGGAUUCCUCUGAGCAUCUUCCUGCUGCAGCCAAAUCUGUCAGCCCAACCUCUUCUCGGUUUGUGUGGAAUCACACCUCUCCUGCUCCAAGGUGAAGCCUCAUUAGCCUUCACAAAAC
rnacentral:lncRNA from 12 species